rnacentral:rRNA from 1 species
UACAGAGGUCUCAAGCGUUGUUCGGAUUCAUUGGGCGUAAAGGGUGCGUAGGCGGCGCGGUAAGUCGGGUGUGAAAUCUCGGGGCUUAACUCCGAAACUGCAUUCGAUACUGCCGUGCUUGAGGACUGGAGAGGAGACUGGAAUUUACGGUGUAGCGGUGAAAUGCGUAGAUAUCGUAAGGAAGACCAGUGGCGAAGGCGGGUCCCUGGACAGUUCCUGACGCUGAGGCACGAAGGCCAGGGGAGCAAACGGG